rnacentral:tRNA from 1 species
GCAAUGGUGGGUCAGUGUUAGAAUUCUCGUCUUCUAUGGGGGAGACCUGGGUUCGACUUCCUGCCAAUGCA